AUGUUAAUGGGUGAAAUACUUUUGUUCAACAAUUAUUUCAUGUCUUGUCUUUCAUUUCUCUUUUCAUUAUCACAUAAUCUUUAAUAUUUUUUUGUUUUGACUUUGGACUAACCAAGUCUGUUCCUCAGUCACCAUCCGAAUAAUUUUUCUCUUAUAAGCAUUUCAAGGCUAUCCCAGGAUGAGCUUCUGGCCGGCUAUCCCACAUACGAAAGUCCGUGGGGGACUGUCCUAGGCAUAAGCUCCUGACGGGCUGUCCCAGACAUGAGCUCC
rnacentral:lncRNA from 1 species